rnacentral:sRNA from 1 species
AGCAGCCGCGGUAAUUCCAGCUCCAAUAGCGUAUAUUAAAGUUGUUGUGGUUAAAAAGCUCGUAGUUGAACCUUGGGCCUGGCUGGCCGGUCCGCCUCACCGCGUGUACUGGUCCGGCCGGGCCUUUCCCUCUGUGGAACCCCAUGCCCUUCACUGGGUGUGGCGGGGAAACAGGACUUUUACUGUGAAAAAUUAGAGUGCUCCAGGCAGGCCUAUGCUCGAAUACAUUAGCAUGGAAUAAUAGAAUAGGACGUGUGGUUCUAUUUUGUUGGUUUCUAGGACCGCCGUAAUGAUUAAUAGGGACAGUCGGGGGCAUCAGUAUUCAAUUGUCAGAGGUGAAAUUCUUGGAUUUAUUGAAGACUAACUACUGCGAAAGCAUUUGCCAAGGAUGUUUUCAUUAAUCAGGAACGAAAGUUAGGGGAUCGAAGACGAUCAGAUACCGUCGUAGUCUUAACCAUAAACUAUGCCGACUAGGGAUCGGACGGUG